AACGAACGCUGGCGGCAGGCUUAACACAUGCAAGUCGAACGCCCCGCAAGGGGAGUGGCAGACGGGUGAGUAACGCGUGGGAACGUGCCCUUCGCUUCGGAGUAUUCCCGGGAAACUGGGAGCAAUGCCGGAUACGCCGAAUUGGGAAAGAUUUAUCGGCGAAGGAUCGGCCCGCGUUAGAUUAGGUAGUUGGUGGGGUAAUGGCCUACCAAGCCUACGAUCUAUAGCUGGUCUGAGAGGAUGAUCAGCCACACUGGGACUGAGACACGGCCCAGACUCCUACGGGAGGCAGCAGUGGGGAAUCUUGGACAAUGGGCGCAAGCCUGAUCCAGCCAUGCCGCGUGAGUGAAGAAGGCCUUAGGGUUGUAAAACUCUUUCGCCGGUGAAGAUAAUGACGGUAGCCGGAGAAGAAGUCCCGGCUAACUUCGUGCCAGCCGCCGCCGUAACAC
rnacentral:rRNA from 1 species